UUAAUCAUAAGCAGGAAUGAGCCUAGUUUG
rnacentral:piRNA from 1 species